rnacentral:rRNA from 1 species
GACGAACGCUGGCGGCGUGCUUAACACAUGCAAGUCGAACGGAAAGGCCCUGCUUUUGUGGGGUGCUCGAGUGGCGAACGUGUGAGUAACACGUGAGUAACCUGCCCUUGACUUUGGGAUAACUUCAGGAAACUGGGGCUAAUACCGGAUAGGAGCUCCUGCUGCAUGGUGGGGGUUGGAAAGUUUCGGCGGUUGGGGAUGGACUCGCGGCUUAUCAGCUUGUUGGUGGGGUAGUGGCUUACCAAGGCUUUGACGGGUAGCCGGCCUGAGAGGGUGACCGGCCACAUUGGGACUGAGAUAAGGCCCAGACUCCUACGGGAGGCAGCAGUGGGGAAUAUUGCACAAUGGGCGGAAGCCUGAUGCAGCAACGCCGCGUGCGGGAUGACGGCCUUCGAGUUGUAAACCGCUUUCGCCUGUGACGAAGCGUGAGUGACGGUAAUGGGUAAAGAAGCACCGGCUAACUACGUG